rnacentral:rRNA from 1 species
GACGAACGCUGGCGGCGUGCUUAACACAUGCAAGUCGAACGGAAAGGCCCUGCUUUUGUGGGGUGCUCGAGUGGCGAACGGGUGAGUAACACGUGAGUAACCUGCCCUUGACUUUUGGAUAACUUCAGGAAACUGGGGCUAAUACCGGAUAGGAGCUCCUGCUGCAUGGUGGGGGUUGGAAAGUUUCGGCUGUUGGGGAUGGACUCGCGGCUUAUCAGCUUGUUGGUGGGGUAGUGGCUUACCAAGGCUUGGACGGGUAGCCGGCCUGAGAGGGUUACCGGCGAAAUAAGAGAUGGGAUACGGACAGGACUCAAACGGAAGGCAGCAGUGGGGAAUAUUGGAAAAUGGACGGAAGCCUGAGGCAGCAAAGCCGCGUGGGGGAUGACGGCCUUGGGGUUGUAAAACGCUGUGACCUGUGACGAAGCGUGAGUGACGGUAAUGGGUAAAGAAGUACCGACUAACUACGU